rnacentral:rRNA from 1 species
UACGUAGGGUGCAAGCGUUGUCCGGAUUUACUGGGCGUAAAGGGCGUGCAGGCGGUCUGUUAAGUGCAGGGUGAAAGCUCCCGGCUCAACUGGGAGAGGUCCUUGCAUACUGGCGGACUUGAGGGGGGUAGAGGAAAGUGGAAUUCCCGGUGUAGUGGUGAUAUGCGUAGAUAUCGGGAGGAACACCUGUGGCGAAGGCGGCUUUCUGGGCCCUACCUGACGCUGAGACGCGAAAGCGUGGGGAGCGAACCGG